CGCAGAUUUGUGAGCCUGGCCUCGGAGAGCCUGAGUCAGUGGUUCAGGGGUGAAGCUGAUGCUGGUGGUCCAGAACCCACUCUGUACCCCCCACGUGGUAGUCUCUGGGCUUGAGGAUUGUGAGGCUGCCCCUGACGGGGGGUUACCUCUAGUGGGGUCUCACCUGGAAAGGUAAGGGCCAGCUCUGCAUUGUGACUUCACUAGGGGACAUCUUCCAUCCUCUGGGGGGACCACCUGGAUAAUACACGCCCCAGAGCCCAUUUGUCCUGCUGGUUUUCUUUUAUUAAUUUAAAUUUUUAAAUAACUGGGGAAAAAAUGACGUGUUCAAGUCAACUCCUUUGCAGCCUGGCUUUUACACUAAUACUGUGAUGGCCCCAGGUCACCCAAGAAGAUGGAGAGACGCGGAAAGGGUCUUUCCGCCUUCAGAGAAUAACAGCGAAGACAACUUGACAGAACCAAAGAGAGGGAGUGAGUCGAAACACCAAAGGCCAGGUCUUGGGAAAGAAGUCUGUGUCCAAGUGUCAGAACCUGGGCAUUUUUGUCCGGUCCUUUAUAAACUUUAAACUCAUCAUUUCACCGGGACGUUGGUGUUGUAGACAUACAGCUUGACGCCUGCAGACUAGCUUGACUUCUAGGUGCAAAAUGUCUUCCCUCCUCCUGAAACGUGAUGAAGAGGUGGCGAGAGGAAAACCACGUGCGUUAUUGCUCUUUGCAUAUCCUCGGCUGGGGUAAUUUCCUAUAGGAAGAUGUUAACUAGGAACCAUUUUAUCAGGGAGGAGUUGAGGGGGAUAAAUGAAUUUCCUGGUGCCAUGUUGGUUCUUGUUCAGUGGCAGCAAAAAAAAUGGCACCCAAAGCAACAGGAAAAAUACUUUAUAAAGGAGAGUUUGUGGGUCAAUAAUUUUGGAAAAUGUAAUCUGUGAUACUGAUCCUAUUAAAAUUGCCAUAAAUAUUCAAAUUAAAACUUUCAUUACAGUCAUGCAUCACUUACCUACGGGGAGAGGUUCUGAGAAAUGCAUCACGAGUUCCCUUUUGUGCAAACGUCACAGAGCGUACUUACAUAAACCUAGAUGGCACAGCCUGCUACACACCUAGGGUCUAAGGACUAGUGUUAUCCAUCAUCCCAUAUUCAGGGCAUCGUGGACGGAAACAUCGUUACGUGGUGCAUGGCUGUAUUUAUAAUGGAAUUAUAACACAGGUGCUGGAGACUGCAUGUCUGUGUUGCCACUAAAUUCGUAUGUUGAAAUCCUAAUCCCAAUGUGAUGGUUUGAGGAGGUGGGACCUUUGGGAGGUGAUUAGGUCAUGAGGGUGGAGCCCUCAUAAAUAAUAUUAGUACCCUUAUAAAAGAGACGCCAGAGAGCUCCCUCCUCCAUGUGAGGAUACAGCAGGAAGAUGGCAUCUAUGAACCAGGAAGCAGGUUCUCACCAGACGCCAAAUAUGAAGGCAACUUGAGCUUGGUCUUCCCAGCUUCCAGAACUGGGAGAAAUGUUUGUUGAUUGAGCCAUCCAGUCUAUGACAUUUUUGCUAUAGCAGCCUAAAGGGACCAAGACAAUAGGUUUAAUUUUUUUUCAGUUUAAAGAGGGUCUACCCUGCACUCGCUGCUUUGAGAGCACUUCCUGAAUGCGAUCUCUUCAGGUUCUGGGAAUAACCCCGGGAGCCGGGUGUUAUUAGCCCUCCCUGAUAGACGAGGCACAGAGUUUGAGCUUGUUGUUCAGAGCUGCACGGUGAUCAGGAGCUGGGCCAGGAUUCGGAAGAGGGGCGGGAGUGGAUCCAUGUCCACUGUAUGUCCCUCAGUGUCGUCUUGUAGUUGAGCUGGGCAGCCAUGUGCCCAGGGGACUGCUGUCGCCGUGGGGGAGGUGCCAGGCUGGGCCAACACCCUCUUCCCCAGAGAUGGUGGCGGCAAAGUUGUGCCUGGUCGUGAGCCCUAGAGGCGGUCCAGUGGCACCCAGACAGCCCAGCACGGGCGGGGGGCAGUCAGGUUCUCACAUCUCUGGGUUUAUUUCUAGGCCUCCGCGGGGAGGGCUGGUCCUGCUGUUAGAAGAAGCGCUUUCGUCUGCCCUGUUUGGGGGUUGGGUUGGUAGCUGGGAGACACGAUGAUGAGCUUGGGGGAGCUGGCAGAUGUUGGAGCCUCCGUGAGAAUGAGAGAAGACAGAGACUGGCGUGAGUCCUGACCCUCCUUUGUCUGGGACCCACACGGCCACGGCCACAGCUGGGGUGCUCUGUGUGAGGGGCUCACACCGCCCCCCAGGACCCAUUCCUGUCCUUUCACCAGCCAGGAUCUGGGAGGUUUGUGUUUACUGCUGAAUGAGUCAGCUUAUUUUCUUCCUUUUUCCCUCACUACUUGCAUGGGGAAACAUUUCUCCUCUUCCCAUUGGCCGGCCUUCAGUCACCCAGAGCUGGGCCUGCCUGGUUUUUCCAGUUGGACCAGAAACACCUACAGAGGUGCAUUAACCCCUGGGGCUCACGAGCAUCUUUUUUCUGGGCCCAGAGGAGAGAACGUUUCCUUGCACACAUCUUGACUCACUGGAAAUUUCAGACAACCUCUCUCACUAGACACGUAUGCAUCCAGGAAGGGACUGGAGCUGCCAGGAAAUCUGGGUUUGGGUUCCAGGCCCCCAGUUUCCAGCAGGGUGGCCACCCGAGAACGCCUGAGCCCCCGGCCUCAGCAGGUGGCCCCCUCUGUACGGCAGGGACUUUGUAAUGGGGUUCUGCCUGUCCUACCUCACUGCAUCAGUGGUCCCAGGGAAUGAUGCAUCUGAAGGUGGUUUGAAAAGAGAAGAAGCACUAAACGAAUUCACAGAACCAAACAUAAAACCACAACCCAAAAGGGCCGCAAGAGGUGGGACCAGGUUUUCUUCGGUAUCGGCUCAUUCAAGCUCUUCUCCUGUGUCAACAGUGGCCAAACCGACCGGCUAUUUAAUCCAGACCUGGCCAGUGCGUGCUGCUGGCAGAGGGUGACGCAGAUCUGCAAGAGGUCCCACGAGGGACAGACCCAUAUUUUGUGGAUGCUACAGCUCAUAUGAUUUGGAGGGCCCUCUUUAAGAAAUAAGAUACACCACUACUGGGUAUCUAUCCUAAGAACCUGAAAUCAGCAAUCCCAAGAGUCCCUUGCACCAUGUUCAUCGCAGCAUUAUUUACAAUAGCCAAGACAUGGAACCAACCUAAAUGCCCAGAAACUGAUGAUUGGAUAAAGAAGAUAUGGUAUAUAUACACAAUGGAAUACUACUCAGCCAUAAAAAAGGACAAAAUUGUUCCAUUCACAUCAACAUGGAUGGACCUCGAGGGUAUUAUGUUAAGUGAAAUAAGCCAGACAGAGAAAGACGAACUCUAUAUGACUCCACUCAUAGGUGGAAGUUAACAUAUAGACAAGGAGAACUGAGCGGUGGUUACCAGGG
ensembl:lncRNA